rnacentral:rRNA from 1 species
UACGUAGGGGCCUAGCGUUGUCCGGAUUUAUUGGGCGUAAAGAGCUCGUAGGCGGCACGGUUAGUCAGGUGUGAAAUCUCCACGCUCAACGUGGAGGGGUCACCUGAUACUGCCGAGCUUGAGUCCGGUAGGGGAGUGCGGAAUUCCCGGUGUAGCGGUGAAAUGACGCAGAUAUCGGGAGGAACACCUAUGGCGAAGGCAGCUCGCUGGGACGUUACUGACGCUGAGACGCGAAAGCGUGGGGAGCAAACAGG